ensembl:ncRNA D1046.13 ncRNA
GGUUUCGUUUUCAUUGUUGGGUGUGAGUAUGUUCAAUUUCCAAAACAGGAAACCACUAGUCGCAUCGAAUUACCAUC